GGCCCCGUCGUCUAGCGGCUAGGACGCCGCCCUCUCAAGGCGGUUAGCGCGGGUUCGAAUCCCGUCGGGGCUACCA
rnacentral:tRNA from 1 species